GGCGAACGGGUGAGUAACACGUGGGUAAUCUGCCCUGCACUCUGGGAUAAGCCUGGGAAACUGGGUCUAAUACUGGAUAUGACCUUUCUCCUUAUGGGGUUUGGUGGAAAGUUUUUCGGUGUAGGAUGAGCCCGCGGCCUAUCAGCUUGUUGGUGGGGUGAUGGCCUACCAAGCGACGACGGGUAGCCGGCCUGAGAGGGUGAUCGGCCACAUUGGGACUGAGAUACGGCCCAG
rnacentral:rRNA from 1 species